UACGUAGGGUGCAAGCGUUUAAUCGGAAUUACUGGGCGUAAAGCGUGCGCAGGCGGUUGUGCAAGACCGAUGUGAAAUCCCCGGGCUUAACCUGGGAAUGGCAUUGGUGACUGCACGGCUAGAGUGUGUCAGAGGGGGGGUAGAAUUCCACGUGUAGCAGUGAAAUGCGUAGAGAUGUGGAGGAAUACCGAUGGCGAAGGCAGCCCCCUGGGAUAACACUGACGCUC
rnacentral:rRNA from 1 species